AGAGUUUGAUCCUGGCUCAGAAUGAACGCUGGCGGCGUGCUUAACACAUGCAAGUCGAACGGUAACAGAGUAGCUUGCUACUGCUGACGAGUGGCGCACGGGUGAGUAAUGUAUAGGUAAUCUGCCUCUUAGACUGGGAUAGCCACUGGAAACGGUGAUUAAUACUAGAUACUCCUUCUUGAUACUUUCAAGUUGGGAAACGUUUUUCGCUAAGAGAUGAGCCUAUAUUGUAUCAGUUAGUUGGUGAGGUAAUGGCUCACCAAGACUAUGACACAUAGCUGAUUUGAGAGGAUGAUCAGCCACACUGGUACUGAGACACGGACCAGACUCCUACGGGAGGCAGCAGUGAGGAAUAUUGCACAAUGGAGGAAACUCUGAUGCAGCAACGCCGCGUGGAGGAUGACGCAUUUCGGUGUGUAAACUCCUUUUAUAAGAGAAGAAAAUGACGGUAUCUUAUGAAUAAGCACCGGCUAACUCCGUGCCAGCAGCCGCGGUAAUACGGAGGGUGCAAGCGUUAUUCGGAAUCACUGGGCGUAAAGGACGCGUAGGCGGGUUGCUAAGUCUGAUGUGAAAUCCUAUGGCUCAA
rnacentral:rRNA from 1 species